UCCAUCGUGAGGUGGAAUCCGAAGGGAGCCUGACGAGCAAACCACUGCACUGAUGAACAAGAAUCGGCUAUAAGGCCAGGGGGCGCGGAUAAGGUUGCACAACAAACUGAAGUCCGAUACUACUCGAAGCAAGCCCUGGUAAAGCCGGCAGUGACAUGGUGGGAAAGUUAUCGUC
rfam:Lactobacillus ingluviei strain DSM 14792 Scaffold21, whole genome shotgun sequence.